rnacentral:lncRNA from 1 species
GAUGUAUAAAGUCUUUUGAGAGGUGGACUAACAUUUGCCAAGGGUGAGAAGUCCCCAGGGCUGGGGAAGAAGGUUUCUGCUCGGAAGGCUUGGGGGUGGGGAGCCGUCAGGACCAAGUACUCGUGGAGGAAGUCCUAUAGAUGUGAAUGGGUCUCAAGGCUCUCAUUAAACUUAUAGGGGUCCCACCCAACCAGAUUCCAGUAAGCCUGUUUUACGGUGUCUAUUAUGUUAAACGGAAUAGGAUGAAACAUAAGGGUUUGAGACAGCUACAAAAUAAUACUUAAAUGCUGCAGUCAAUAUUGUGGC